rnacentral:rRNA from 1 species
GGUUCCUACGGGGCGCAGCAGUGAGGAAUAUUGGUCAAUGGUCGGGAGGCUGAACCAGCCAAGCCGCGUGAGGGAGGAAGGUACAGAGUAUCGUAAACCUCUUUUGUCAGGGAACAAAGGCGGGGACGUGUCCCCGGAUGAGUGUACCUGAAGAAAAAGCAUCGGCUAACUCCGUGCCAGCAGCCGCGGUAAUACGGAGGAUGCGAGCGUUAUCCGGAUUUAUUGGGUUUAAAGGGUGCGCAGGCGGCCUGUUAAGUCAGCGGUAAAAGCCCGGGGCUCAACCCCGGCGAGCCGUUGA